AGAACGAACGCUGGCGGCAGGCUUAACACAUGCAAGUCGAGCGCCCCGCAAGGGGAGCGGCAGACGGGUGAGUAACGCGUGGGAACGUACCCCCGGUUCGGAAUAACUCAGGGAAACUUGAGCUAAUACCGGAUACGGCUGGAAGGCGAAAGAUUCAUCGCCGGGGGAUCGGCCCGCGUCCGAUUAGCUAGUUGGUGUGGUAACGGCGCACCAAGGCGACGAUCGGUAGCUGGUCUGAGAGGAUGAUCAGCCACAUUGGGACUGAGACACGGCCCAAACUCCUACGGGAGGCAGCAGUGGGGAAUUUUCGUCAAUGGGGGCAACCCUGAACGAGCAACGCCGCGUGCAGGAAGAAGGUUUUCGGAUCGUAAACUGCUUUCUCGGGGAAGAGAACGGACGGUACCCGAGGAAUCAGCCCCGGCUAACUACGUGCCAGCAGCCGC
rnacentral:rRNA from 1 species